GAUGAACGCUGACCGAAUGCUUAACACAUCAGCAAUUGAUUGGUGGCGGACGGGUCAGUAACGCGUAACGGACUUGCCUCCCAGCUAGGGCCCACAUUUGGAACCGAAUGCUAAUACCUAAUACUGUGAGAGAGCUUUGCGUCCCAUUAGCGAGUUGGAGAGGUAACGACUCACCAAGGCGAGGAUGGGUAGCCGGCCUGAGAGGGUGAUCGGCGAAAAGGGGACUGAGAAACGGCCCUUACUCGUACGGGAGGCAGCAGUGGGGAAUAGUGGACAAUGGACCAAAGUCUGAUCCAGCAAUUCUGUGUGCACGAUGAAGUUUUCGGAAUGGAAAGCGCUUUCAGUUGGGAAGCGGUAAAAACAGAAGAAGUGAAGGCUAAAUACGAGCCAGCCGCCGCGGUAAUUC
rnacentral:rRNA from 1 species